ACGAAGGGGGCUAGCGUUGCUCGGAAUCACUGGGCGUAAAGCGUGCGUAGGCGGAUCUUUAAGUCAGGUGUGAAAUCCCGGGGCUCAACCCCGGAACUGCCUUUGAUACUGGGGAUCUUGAGUUCGAGAGAGGUUGGUGGAACUGCGAGUGUAGAGGUGAAAUGCGUAGAUAUUCGCAAGAACACCGGUGGCGAAAGCGGCCAACUGGCUCGACACUGACGCUGAGGCGCGAAAGCGUGGGGAGCAAACGGG
rnacentral:rRNA from 1 species